CAGCCGCCGCGGGAAUACGAAGGGGGCUAGCGUUGCUCGGAAUGACUGGGCGUAAAGGGCGCGUAGGCGGAUUGCGCAGUCAGAUGUGAAAUUCCUGGGCUUAACCUGGGGGCUGCAUUUGAGACGCGUAGUCUAGAGUGUGAAAGAGGGUCGUGGAAUUCCCAGUGUAGGGGUGAAAUUCGUAGAUAUUGGGAAGAACACCGGUGGCGAAGGCGGCGACCUGGUUCAUAACUGACGCUGAGGCGCGAAAGCGUGGGGAGCAAACAGGAUUAGAUACCCCCGUAGUCCCUGUCUCUUAUAC
rnacentral:rRNA from 1 species